rnacentral:rRNA from 1 species
UACGUAGGGGGCAAGCGUUAUCCGGAAUCAUUGGGCGUAAAAGCGCGUGUAGGCGGUUCCGUAAGUCCGCUCUGAAAGCCCCAGGGCUCAACCCUGGGAGGCGGGUGGAUACUACGGAACUGGAGUACGGAAGAGGAGAUUGGAAUUCCUGGUGUAGCGGUGAAAAUGCGCAGAUAUCAGGAGGAACACCAACAGCGAAGGCAGAUCUCUGGGACGUUACUGACGCUGAGACGCGAAAAGCGUGGGGGAGCAAACAGG